GAUGAACGCUAGCGGGAGGCCUAACACAUGCAAGCCGAGCGGUAUUGUUCCUUCGGAAAUGAGAGAGCGGCGUACGGGUGCGGGACACGUGUGCAACCUGCCUUUAUCUGGGGGAUAGCCUUUCGAAAGGAAGAUUAAUACUCCAUAAUAUAUUGAACGGCAUCGUUUAAUAUUGAAAGCUCCGGCGGAUAGAGAUGGGCACGCGCAAGAUUAGCUAGUUGGUGAGGUAACGGCUCACCAAGGCGAUGAUCUUUAGGGGGCCUGAGAGGGUGAUCCCCCACACUGGUACUGAGACACGGACCAGACUCCUACGGGAGGCAGCAGUGAGGAAUAUUGGUCAAUGGGUGCAAGCCUGAACCAGCCAUCCCGCGUGAAGGACGACUGCCCUAUGGGUUGUAAACUUCUUUUGUAUAGGGAUAAACCUACCCUCGUGAGGGUAGCUGAAGGUACUAUACGAAUAAGCACCGGCUAACUCCGUGCCAGCAGCCGCGGUAAUACGGAGGGUGCAAGCGUUAUCCGGAUUUAUUGGGUUUAAAGGGUCCGUAGGCGGACUUAUAAGUCAGUGGUGAAAGCCUGUCGCUUAACGAUAGAACUGCCAUUGAUACUGUAAGUCUUGAGUAUAUUUGAGGUAGCUGGAAUAAGUAGUGUAGCGGUGAAAUGCAUAGAUAUUACUUAGAACACCAAUUGCGAAGGCAGGUUACCAAGAUAUAACUGACGCUGAGGGACGAAAGCGUGGGGAGCGAACAGGAUUAGAUACCCUGGUAGUCCACGCCGUAAACGAUGCUAACUCGUUUUUGGGCUUUAGGGUUCAGAGACCAAGCGAAAGUGAUAAGUUAGCCACCUGGGGAGUACGCUCGCAAGAGUGAAACUCAAAGGAACUGACGGGGGCCCGCACAAGCGGUGGAUUAUGUGGUUUAAUUCGAUGAUACGCGAGGAACCUUACCAAGACUUAAAUGGGAAUUGACAGCUUUAGAAAUAGAGCUUUCUUCGGACAAUUUUCAAGGUGCUGCAUGGUUGUCGUCAGCUCGUGCCGUGAGGUGUUAGGUUAAGUCCUGCAACGAGCGCAACCCCUGUCACUAGUUGCCAUCAUUCAGUUGGGGACUCUAGUGAGACUGCCUACGCAAGUAGAGAGGAAGGUGGGGAUGACGUCAAAUCAUCACGGCCCUUACGUCUUGGGCCACACACGUAAUACAAUGGCCGGUACAGAGGGCAGCUACACAGCGAUGUGAUGCAAAUCUCGAAAGCCGGUCUCAGUUCGGAUUGGAGUCUGCAACUCGACUCUAUGAAGCUGGAAUCGCUAGUAAUCGCGCAUCAGCCAUGGCGCGGUGAAUACGUUCCCGGGCCU
rnacentral:rRNA from 1 species